rnacentral:rRNA from 1 species
GGAUCCAGACUUUGAUCCUGGCUCAGGAUGAACGCUAGCUACAGGCUUAACACAUGCAAGUCGAGGGGAAACGAUAUUGAAAGCUUGCUUCCGAUAGGCGUCGACCGGCGCACGGGUGAGUAACGCGUAUCCAACCUGCCCAUCACUUGGGGAUAACCUUGCGAAAGUAAGACUAAUACCCAAUGAUAUCUCUAGAAGACAUCUGAAAGAGAUUAAAGAUUCAUCGGUGAUGGAUGGGGAUGCGUCUGAUUAGCUUGUUGGCGGGGUAACGGCCCACCAAGGCGACGAUCAGUAGGGGUUCUGAGAGGAAGGUCCCCCACAUUGGAACUGAGACACGGUCCAAACUCCUACGGGAGGCAGCAGUGAGGAAUAUUGGUCAAUGGGCGAGAGCCUGAACCAGCCAAGUAGCGUGCAGGAUGACGGCCCUAUGGGUUGUAAACUGCUUUUAUAAGGGAAUAAAGUGAGCCUCGUGAGGCUUUUUGCAUGUACCUUAUGAAUAAGGACCGGCUAAUUCCGUGCCAGCAGCCGCGGUAAUACGGAAGGUCCGGGCGUUAUCCGGAUUUAUUGGGUUUAAAGGGAGCGUAGGCCGGAGAUUAAGCGUGUUGUGAAAUGUAGAUGCUCAACAUCUGCACUGCAGCGCGAACUGGUUUCCUUGAGUACGCACAAAGUGGGCGGAAUUCGUGGUGUAGCGGUGAAAUGCUUAGAUAUCACGAAGAACUCCGAUUGCGAAGGCAGCUCACUGGAGCGCAACUGACGCUGAAGCUCGAAAGUGCGGGUAUCGAACAGGAUUAGAUACCCUGGUAGUCCGCACGGUAAACGAUGGAUGCCCGCUGUUGGU